UACGUAGGGUGCAAGCGUUGUCCGGAAUUAUUGGGCGUAAAGAGCUCGUAGGCGGUUCGUCGCGUCGGCUGUGAAAUCCCGAGGCUCAACCUCGGGUCUGCAGCCGAUACGGGCGGACUGGAGUUCGGCAGGGGAGACUGGAAUUCCUGGUGUAGCGGUGAAAUGCGCAGAUAUCAGGAGGAACACCGGUGGCGAAGGCGGGUCUCUGGGCCGAUACUGACGCUGAGGAGCGAAAGCGUGGGGAGCGAACAGG
rnacentral:rRNA from 1 species